ACCAGUAGUGCACAGAUCUUCAUGCAUGCAAGCAUAGAGAAUGUAAUUAAUUACAAGAUACGUUUCGUAUUCAUCUACAUUCCUUCAACGUAAUAUGUGAUAAUGAUAAUAUGCUUCCCUUAAUCCCGGUAAUCUGUAGCUUGCUACAGUCCAAUCAGACCACAGUUUCUACCGAACUUAGUCUAUUUAUCAGGGAUUAAUGCGGCUGCUAAACACUUACAUAACUGUAUUCAGUUUUUAUUGUUAUUCGAUCUGGGGGAGGUACUACGUGUCUAUCCCCAAAAUCUGAGAACUAUGGAAGGUAUUUUUUAGGCAAUGGAUGAUCAAAAGAAAAUUGAAGUAAAGAUCUUAUUUUUUGCUAAAGCCAGAGAGCUUGCUGGACUUAGUGAAUGUUCUUUGAAAGUUGCCUCACAUGUAACAUAUGAAGAACUUUGUACUCUUAUUGUUGAAAAUUUUUCACUGGGUGCUAUAAGAAGGAACUUUAUCCUUGCAGUAAAUGAAGAAUAUUUGUCAAGUGAAUCUAUUUUAGAUUUUAAAGAAGGUGAUGAAAUUGCUGUAAUUCCACCAAUAAGUGGAGUUUUUCAAGAUCCUCAAAUCAUGGCAGUUUAUGUGUUUCUGCUGCAUGCAGUGUUUCAGGCCUUACUACUGUUUGAGUUAACCGAGCUACGAGUUUCGUGUCAAGAUGGAUUACAUAAAAAUUUGUGAUUCAAAAUUAAAUGUAGAAGAAGUGACAGAUCUAGUGUCAUCAUCAUCAUGUGGUGCAAUUUCAGUUUUUAUUGGGACAACAAGGGAAACAUUUGAAAACAAAAAGCUCUGUGGCUCACUGGAGGACUGACUUCACUGAAAGCAGUACAGCAAUGAUGGGUAAAUUAAUGACGCAACAAGAAUUAGGUUGAGACACAGGCCAAUAGAGUGAUAUCAUGACAGCAUAUGAGCUUUCACAUAAGGUGGUAUGAGGCUAUACAGUUGAACAAAGAUUACGUUGAAAAACAGGGCUUAAUAGCCACAGAAUUGGGGAACAAUGUAGUAUAUUUAAAUGGUGAAUAAAACUGUUCUACUUUGAGAAAAUAUGUGUUUCAUUACUUAUUGAAUAACCAUAGUAAAUAUUAUGCAUUUUCAAACGUCUUGAGGGUUCUGCUGCUUUACAAAAUUUACUGCUCUGGCUUCAGAUAUGGUAUGCCAAUUGUUGUUCUGACUGAGUCACACUUUAUCUUUCUUUAAUCAAAGAGUGCUCUAAAGACAACUAGUAGACAUUGAACAUGGGUGUGGUUAUUGUAUAAGUUGAGCUGUUGGUAUAGUAAUUCAGAUAUGGAAACAUGUGGUCAGCUGAGAGUUGUGCAUAUUGACAAGAUGGUUUAAGGUUUGAAAAAAUUUUCUACAAAGGCUUUUGAUGCAAGUGUCCUGCUAUUGUAAACAAGACCAUGAAUAUAAAGCACACACAUGCCAGAUUGUGGAGUGUGGCUGGUAUUCUGAGACUGACAUAUUAGCAAAGACAUACUGAGCCAUCAUUCAUAGGACCAUAGUGGUGUCCUUCCUGUUGUGUUGUCCAGACUUGAUUUCCAGCAGACUACUAUCUACCUCCACAUCUCCUGCAUUGUCCAAGAAAUUUUCCAUGAACAGCCUUUACUCUUAUACUUUCAAUUAGAAUAAUGAAAUUCC